UGGGGAAUUUUGGACAAUGGGCGAAAGCCUGAUCCAGCAAUGCCGCGUGCAGGAUGAAGGCCUUCGGGUUGUAAACUGCUUUUGUACGGAACGAAAAGGCUCUGGCUAAUACCUGGGGCACAUGACGGUACCGUAAGAAUAAGCACCGGCUAACUACGUGCCAGCAGCCGCGGUAAUACGUAGGGUGCGAGCGUUAAUCGGAAUUACUGGGCGUAAAGCGUGCGCAGGCGGUUUUGUAAGACAGAGGUGAAAUCCCCGGGCUCAACCUGGGAACUGCCUUUGUGACUGCAAAGCUGGAGUGCGGCAGAGGGGGAUGGAAUUCCGCGUGUAGCAGUGAAAUGCGUAGAUAUGCGGAGGAACACCGAUGGCGAAGGCAAUCCCCUGGGCCUGCACUGACGCUCAUGCACGAAAGCGUGGGGAGCAAACA
rnacentral:rRNA from 2 species